rnacentral:rRNA from 1 species
UCGCAAAAACUAUGUAUUACCUUCGUUGAGUGUGCACAAGACAUAAGACGUUUUCUUUGAAAAAAAGAGAGUGUUCAAAACAGACCUGCCGCUUGUACACAUGCACAGGGUAUUAUGGUAUAGGAUUGUGGUUUUAUUUUGGUGGUUUAUAAGUCAGAAGUAGUGUUUUAGAGGGACAGGUGGGCGCUUUUGUUUUUCGUUCUCAGAGGUAAAUUUCUGGGAUUUUAGAAAGACGAUCAUCUGAAAACACAUUUCCCAAGAAUGUUCUCUUUUCUCAAGAAAGAAAGUUAGAGGAUAGAAGGCUCUCAGAUCCUGUCAUUGUUCUACCCAUAACAGAUGUAGUAUAGGGAUCAGCGGGCGUUAUAUACGACUUCGUCGGCACCUUACGGGAAAUCAAAGUUUUUGGAUUCCGGGGGAAGUAUGGUUGCAAAGCUGAAACUUAAAGGAAUUGACGGAAGGGCACCACCAGGAGUGGAGCCUGUGGCUUAAUAUGACUCAACACGGGAAAACUUACCAGGUCCGGACAUAGUAAGGAUUGACAGAUUGAUAGCUCUUUCUUGAUUCUAUGGGUGGUGGUGCAUGCCCGUUGUUAGUUGGUGGAGUGAUUUGUCUGGUUAAUUCCGUUAAUGAACGAGACCCCAGCCUGAUAAAUAGUUUGCUUGAUGUUUCAUCGGUGCCAACUUCUUAGAGGGACUAUUCUGUGUAUAACGAAUGGAAGUUUGGGGCAAUAACAGGUCUGUGAUGCCCUUAGAUGUUCUGGGCCGCACACGGGAUACACUGUAAGGUUCAACAAGCUUCAUACUCUGGUCCGAUAGGUCUGGGCAAUCUUUUGAACUCCUUACGUGACAGGGAUAGACUAUUGCAAUUGUUAGUCUUCAACGAGGAAUUUCUAGUAAACGCGAGUCAUCAACUAGCAUAGAUUACGUGCCUGCCCUUUAUACACACCGCCCGUCGCUCCUACCGAUUGGAUGAAUCGAUGAGGGAUUUGGAGAGCGGUCGUGAAACCACUUCGGUGGCGGAACGGCUGCUCAAAAUCAUUCAAAU